rnacentral:rRNA from 1 species
UACAGAGGUGGCAAGCGUUGUUCGGAAUUACUGGGCGUAAAGGGCUCGUAGGCGGCCAACUAAGUCAGACGUGAAAUCCCUCGGCUUAACCGGGGAACUGCGUCUGAUACUGGAUGGCUUGAGUUUGGGAGAGGGAUGCGGAAUUCCAGGUGUAGCGGUGAAAUGCGUAGAUAUCUGGAGGAACACCGGUGGCGAAGGCGGCAUCCUGGGCCAACACUGACGCUGAGUGAGCGAAAGCCAGGGGAGCAAACGGG